GGAGGCAGCAGUCGAGAAGCUUCGGCAAUGGGCGAAAGCCUGACCGAGCGAUGCCGCGUGAGUGAAGAAGGCCCUAUGGGUUGUAAAGCUCUGUCAGAUUGGGAAGAAAAYUCUACGGUUAAUACCCGUGGAACUUGACGGUACCAUCAGAGGAAGCACCGGCUAACUCCGUGCCAGCAGCCGCGGUAAUACGGAGGGUGCAAGCGUUGUUCGGAUUCACUGGGUAUAAAGGGUGCGCAGGCGGCCCGAUAAGUCAGGGGUGAAAUAUGACGGCUUAACCGUCAAACUGCCCCUGAAACUGUCAGGCUUGAGUUCGAGAGAGGUAGGUGGAAUUCCAGGUGUAGCGGUGAAAUGCGUAAAUAUCUGGAGGAACACCGGUGGCGAAGGCGGCCUACUGGCUCGAUACUGACGCUCAGGCACGAAAGCAUGGGGAGCGAACGGGAUUAGAUACCCCGGUAGUCCAUGCCGUAAACGAUGGGUACUAGGUGUUGGAGGAUUCUACCCCUUCAGUGCCGCAGCUAACGCAUUAAGUACCCCACCUGGGGAGUACGAUCGCAAGGUUGAAACUCAAAGGAAUUGACGG
rnacentral:rRNA from 1 species